rnacentral:lncRNA from 1 species
GUAACGCACCCACUGGGCCAGUCCGCCUAAAGCCCACCAUCGCCAGCGUCGGACGUUCAUGCGCUCGUGCGCAGCCUAUUCAGACGGGCACCUCGCUCUCAAAACCUAGGCUGAGAGAGGAGGGAGGCCCGCCCUUAUAAGUGCAACACGGCCCCCUUGGCUAGGCGAGGUGGUACUAACCCAGGGCGUGCAUACCGGUCCCUUACAUCCCACCCCCCUAAGAGGCCCAAAGCUCUCCCAGGCAGCAGCGGCAAUGUAGGCUCCGAUACCAAUUGUAACGCACCCACUGGGCCAGUCCGCCCAAAGCCCACCAUCGCCAGCGUCAUACGUUCAUGCGCUCGUGCGCAGCCUAUUCAGACGGGCACCUCGCUCUCAAAACCUAGGCUGAGAGAGGAGGGAGGCUCGCCCUUAUAAGUGCAACACGGCCCCCUUAGCUAGGCGAGGUGGUACUAACCCAGGGCGUGCAUACCGGUCCCUUACAUCCCACCCCCCUAAGAGGCCCAAAGCUCUCCCAGGCAGCAGCGGCAAUGUAGGCUCCGAUACCAAUUGUAACGCACCCACUGGGCCAGUCCGCCCAAAGCCCACCAUCGCCAGCGUCGGACGUUCAUGCGCUCGUGUGCAGCCUAUUUAGGCGGGCACCUCGCUCUCAAAACCUAGGCUGAGAGAGGAGGGAGGCCCGCCCUUAUAAGUGCAACACGGCCCCCUUGGCUAGGCGAGGUGGUACUAACCCAGGGCGUGCAUAUCGGUCUCUCACAUCCCACCCCCCUAAGAGGCCCAAAGCUCUCCCAGGCAGCAGCGGCAGUGUGGGCUCCGAUACCAAUUGUAACGCACCCACUGGGCCAGUCCGCCUAAAGCCCACCAUCGCCAGCGUCAUACGUUCAUGCGCUCGUGCGCAGCCUAUUCAGACGGGCACCUCGCUCUCAAAACCUAGGCUGAGAGAGGAGGGAGGCCCGCCCUUAUAAGUGCAACACGGCCCCCUUGGCUAGGCGAGGUGGUACUAACCUAGGGCGUGCAUAC